rfam:Dipodomys ordii contig_58892, whole genome shotgun sequence.
GGUAAUGUGGCUUAGUGGUAGAUUGCUUGCCUAGCAUGCAUGAAGCCCUGGGUUCAAUUCCUCAGUACCG